rnacentral:misc_RNA from 1 species
GUUUAUUGCUGGGUUUUUGUUGUUCUUUUGUGUAACUAUUGGUGUGUUUGAGAUUUGUUGUGGCGCUAGAUCGAGGAAAUGCGCUAAGCCAGGAUGUAAAGGGUUGAAAAAGGCUAUGGAGUUUGAUCUCCAAUUGCAGACGGAGGAGUGUGUGAAGAGUGGGUCGAAGGAGAUUGAUAAAUUGCCGUGGAAGGGAGGUAGUGAGGCCAACCCGGAUUAUGAGUGCUUGAGGUCUGAGCUGAGGAAGAUGGCACCACCCAAUGGCCGAGCUGUUCUGCUCUUCCGGGCGCGCUGUGGCUGCCCCAUCGCCAAGCUUGAAGGCUGG